UGAAUAAGCAUUUAUAAAUAAUAAUAAUAAUAAUAAAAGAAAAAAUGAAAUAAAUCUCACCUCCCAGGAGCCAGUGGUGUCAGUUUCAUUAUUUAUAUUACUCUGGUGCUUCAGCUUCACCCUUUGUUGUUGUUGUUAUUGUUGUUGCUGUUGAAAGCAAUAUUAAUUACAGCAUUUUUAUAUGUUGCCCUGGGGGAAUUUUUGAAAGACAACAGCUUCUAGCUUUGUUAAAUCCUCCAGAGCUAGAAGUGGACUCGUUUUUCCUCCCAUCCAAGGAUGGCAGCCGGACUUGACUCCAUGUGCACGCAUGAAACGGGACUCUUACCAAAGAUGAGAUGUCUCAGGCACAGAGAGGCCACAGCUGGUAAGAGGUGGAGUGGAUUCAAACUCAGGCAAGUUCGCCCUUUUCAUCAACAGGUCUUUAAUCCAUCUGGAGCUCACAUGUGUAUGUGGCAUUGAUGUGGCAGGCCAGGUCCGAGGACCCAGAGGGGAUCCUACAGAACCAGCCAAGAGGGUCCCUGAGGAUGGAAAUCAAAUGCGAGCCAGCAGGAAGUGAGAGUUUAUUGAUGACACAGAGAGAGCAGAUACAGACGGAACAUCUGAGAGACUCAGAAAGCAAAUGCAGGAGAGUCUCAUCUUUGCUUGGGGGUCUAGAGUUUUCACUGAAGAUGGUGGUCUGGUGUACGUGUCCUCUCUGGCAUCCAGGAACUGGUCGAACAAGGACCAGUGCUCAGGUGUCCUCCAUAAGUCACUUAUGCCUAGAGCCCGGGGGUCUUGGUGUUCAAGGUGUUUGGAGUCAGAGGUCUCGGACAACGUUCAUGAGGACUCCACCCAGUCCUGUAUCUAUUGCUCUCGAAGGCUCCAAAGAAAUCAUUAACUCCUUGACCUUUACAAGGAGGACAUACAUGAAGACAUAUGUAAGGCAGGUCCUAGCAGGAAUAGAGGCAGGAAAAGGAGCAAAGAAAAAAAGCUUUUUUUUUUCUUCAUGGAGUUCCUUCACUUUCCCUUUCUCAGUAUUAUGUAGGGAUCCAGUCUUUUUUUCUCAAGUUUAUUUAUUCAUCUUUAGAUUGAGAGAGAAAGCGCGCUAACACAAGCAGAGGGAGGGAGAGAGAGAGAAACCCAAGCAGGCUCUGCACUGUCUGCACAGAGCCUGAUGUGGGGCUGGAACGCACGAACCCUGAGGUUACUGACCUGAGCUGAAAUCAAGAGUAGUCCGCUUAACUGACUGAGCCACCCAGGUGCCCCUGUAGGGAUCCGGUUUUAUUUCUCUCCAAAAUGCAAGCCAGUUUUUCUAAGACCACUCUUUCUCCACUGCUGUGUGGUGCCUAAAGAUGCCAUGUUUGUUAUGACUUGGCCGAGUCUUCUUGAGACUAUGGAUAAGCCAGAAGAAAGCCCAACUGAGAUUGGAGAGAGGGAGAGAUGCUACAGUUUGAGCUCCAGAUAUUUUUAAAGCCAGAAAUCUCCUAUUUUUGUU